rnacentral:rRNA from 1 species
UACAGGGGGGGCAAGCGUUGUUCGGAAUUACUGGGCGUAAAGGGCUCGUAGGUGGCCAACUAAGUCAGACGUGAAAUCCCUCGGCUUAACCGGGGAACUGCGUCUGAUACUGGAUGGCUUGAGUUUGGGAGAGGGAUGCGGAAUUCCAGGUGUAGCGGUGAAAUGCGUAGAUAUCUGGAGGAACACCGGUGGCGAAGGCGGCAUCCUGGACCAACACUGACACUGAUGAGCGAAAGCCAGGGGAGCAAACGGG